GAUGAACGUUGGCGGCGUGCCUAAUACAUGCAAGUCGAACGGAGAAUUUGAUGUAGCAAUACAUUGAAUUUCUUAGUGGCGAACGGGUGAGUAACGCGUUGGUGACCUACCCCAAAGAGCGGGAUAACGGUUUGAAAAGACCGCUAAUACCUCAUGUGAUCAUAUGGAUUAGAAGCCUAAUGAUUAAAGGAGCUUGCUCCGCUUUGGGAGGGGCCAGCGUACCAUCAGCUGGUUGGUAAGGUAACGGCUUACCAAGGCGACGACGGGUAGCCGGUCUGAGAGGACGAUCGGCCACACUGGGACUGAGAUACGGCCCAGACUCCUACGGGAGGCAGCAGUUGGGAAUCUUAGGCAAUGGGCGAAAGCCUGACCUAGCGACGCCGCGUGAGGGGAAAAGGCCUUCGGGUCGUAAACCUCUGUCAUGGGGGACGAAGAAAGUGACGGUACCCCAGGAGGAAGCCCCUGCUAACUACGUGCCAGCAGCCGCGGUAAAUCACGUGUA
rnacentral:rRNA from 1 species